UGAUGACCAUAUCAUGUUGAAAACACCAGUUCGCCGCUAAUCAUUGAAGUUAAGCAAUGCCAAGCCUGUUCAGUACCUACAUGGGUAACUGCUUGUGAAUACCAGGUGCUGUAAG